AUUGAACGCUAGCGGGAUGCUUUACACAUGCAAGUCGAACGAGUGGCGGACGGGUGAGUAAUAUAUGGGAACGUGCCCAGUAGCGGGGGAUAACUACUCGAAACUGUGGCUAAUACCGCAUAACAUUGGCUCGGCCGAUAGCGGAUUAGCUAGUUGGUGGGGUAAAGGCUCACCAAGGCAACGAUCCGUAGCUGGUUUGAGAGGAAGACCAGCCACACUGGGACUGAGACACGGCCCAGACUCCUACGGGAGGCAGCAGUGGGGAAUUUUGGACAAUGGGGGAAACCCUGAUCCAGCCAUCCCGCGUGUAUGAGAAGGCCUGCGGGUUGUAAAGUUCUUUUGGCAGAGAAGCGGUAUCUGCAGAAUAAGCACCGGCUAACUACGUGCCAGCAGCCGCGGUAAUUC
rnacentral:rRNA from 1 species